rnacentral:rRNA from 1 species
UGAGGAACAUGACUUUCGGCGGGGGAUAGCCGGCCCAACGGCCGGGUAAUACCGCGUAAGACCACAUGGGGACAUCCCUGAGUGGUGAAAGCAGCAAUGCGCCGAUGGAGUGCCUCGCGGCCUAUCAGCUAGUUGGUGAGGUAACGGCUCACCAAGGCGACGACGGGUAGCUGGUCUGAGAGGAUGGCCAGCCACAGUUGGGACUGAGACACCGGCCCAGACCUC